ACAUCUUACCAAUGUCAUCGCACUGCCUUCUACCACCACUAUCACCGUGAGAAUAUCUUCCAACCACCGACCCACCUCAUUGCUACUACACCAACAGAAACCUUAGCCUCUACUUUGUUACUUUCUUUCUUUCCAGAACACCGUGCUCCGUCAGCACCAUCCAACGCCAAUCUUUUCCUCAUUCACCAUCAAACUUGGUAUUGUUUGUCGUCAACUUCUAGAUCUGAGAAAAAUCGAAGGAGAUACAGAGAAACGCAUAGAUGGGAAAUAUGAAGGCUGAUGGAGGUCUGCAACCUGGAUCAAGAAGCAACCCAAAUGACUAUUAAUGACCAUUGAAAUUGGUGAAGGACUAGAGAGGUGGAAGAUCCUAUUCUUUCAACAUCAUUCUCAACAUUAUUUGGAAGUGCUUGGAGAGGCAUAGUAGAUGUUGGCAUGCCAAAGAUCGUACUUGAGAUGCUUGAAAGAAGGGUGCUUGAGAAGAAUUACUUAUUAAGGUACUUCCGGUAGCGGAUGAUGGAGCUCGGGAUGAUCGCAUGGCACACACCAUAGAUUAGUCAGCCUGGGAAUGUUUUACUCUGAUAAUGAACAUGUGUUUUGAAAACUAAUACUCUGUUUAUGUUUUGAAAUGAUGAUUUUACUUUAAGUGAUACUUUAUUAAAAGAAAUUUUUAAUCUUGAAUUUUGGGACGUUACAAGUUGGUAUCAGAGCCUUGGUUUGAGGGAUUCGGACAUGCUCUCGAGCAUGUCUGAACUCAAACUGAGGGAUUGGUAUAAGAGUUUUCAAAAUGAAAAGACAGUUUUGUAAAAGAGAGUUUGAGGGGGAAAACGGUUUUAGAAAAGCAAAAAAAAAAAAAAAAAAAAAACAAAAAAAACAAAAAAAAAGAGAAUUCAAAAAGAAAAGAACUUUGAAAAGAGAAAAGAGGUGUGGUGCAUGCAAUCAGCCGAGCUCAAGUAAGUACCCCAAAAUACCCAUACAAGUCUAUGUUUUGAUUAUCAGUUAAUAGAACAGCAUGCUAGAAUAGGACUAAGGAUCUAGGGAUGAUGCCUUAUGUGCCUGUUAUUUGUGCUUUUGAGCUGCAUAGUAGUGCUGAUUAGACAGUAGUAGGAUAGCCUGUUUAGGUUAUGCCUGAGUUAUGAGUUUGUGUUGCAUGCUAGUUCAGAUUUUUGCUAUAUGUGUAUGAUUGCUUGAGUAUGUUGUGGUUAGAUUUUCCCCUUGUCUGAAUGUUGUUUGCUUUGUGCAUUGUGGGAUUUUGAGUGAUGGGAGUUAGCCAUUAAGUGGAUACGCCACGUCAUAUGUGAUCAGGGUUGAAUAAUCUCAGAGUGCUGGACUUGGCCCUAUUGCGCAGCUCUCGUUUGAGUCUAACCGUUGUAGGGACGAGUCUUUUACUCGAAGGAUUAUUUGAGCCUCGUCACAUGUGAUGGUAUCCAGGUGAUGGCUAAUUGGCAUCGCGAGGAAGCCUUCAGCAGCUGAGGACUGGUUUGAGUUGAGUCAGAGGUUUCCCUAGGGUCAGCCUAGGAUGAGGUAGUGCUGGAAGCAGAAGUAGUAGAAAGGGACCUGGUGGAGUCAAAGCAAUUCCUGAGGAAAGUACGGAUAGAUGUGGAAGGUAUUAUGGGCCCGUACUACUGAAAGCAGAGGAUCCGUACUCGAUUCGGGAAGGGCUGAGACAAGACCGGGAACCUGGUAGUGCGUGUGUUUGGCCUCGCAGCAGUGAUCAAUAUUCUAAUAGUGGUUGUGUUAUAUUUUCAGCAUGGUGACGUUGCGAGAGAGACCAGUGGGCGGUUCAGGAUCAGGUUCGGGCGCGGGAUCCGAACCAGUUGAUGAUGGGUUGCGCGAGUUCAUUGCAUCUGAGAUUACGAGAGGCAUCCUUGAGGCGACCCCGGUCAUUUUCGGGUCGAUCAAGGAGGGGAUCAUUGAGCUGAUGGGGGAUCGCCUCCGAGCUUUCAGGAGUGAUUUGGCGUAUGGCCAGGCAAGUACGCGCACGCUGUCCUUCAAGGACUUCAGAGGGUGUGGUGCGCUGGAUUUUCACGGUGUGAAAAACCCCAUUGCUGCCAGGAGGUGGAUCGCAGACAUUGAGUCUACACAGUUGACGAGCUUCUGCCCGGAUGGGUCGAAGGUCCGCUUUGCGGCGGCAUGUUUGAGAGACAGAGCUAGAGAUUGGUGGGAGUCAGUUGGAGACUCAUUGGGAGCCUCGGUCAUCGAGGCUAUGACCUGGUCAGACUUCGUGACCAGGUUUAGGGCGGAGUUUGCGCCGGCAGUGGAGCUUCAGCAGCUGGCCAGAGAAUUCCUAGACAUGAGACAGACGACAGAGUCGGUGGCGGAGAUUACUGCCAAGUUUCGGGAGAGGGCCCUAUUAGUUCCUCAGUAUGCAGGGGAUGAUGAGAUGCAGAGGACUCGCUAUCAUGACAUGUUGAGAGCGGAGAUUCGGGAGCAUGUCAGCUUCUCGGCAUGCCCGACCCUGGACUCUAUGAUUGCCAGAGCUAGGGAGAGGGAAAUUGAUCUGGAGCACAUUGCGAAGAGGAAGUCAGAUCAGACAUUCACAUUGUAGGGUCCCGGGAAGAGACCCAAGACUUCAGAUCAGCGAUUAGUGGGUCGGCAGGGCCGAAGUCAGUGCAGCACGUGCGGGAAACUGCACGAGGGAGUGUGUCGUUCCAGGGGUUGCGGCUGCUACAAAUGUGGCAGUGAUGGUCACGUCAACAGGGACUGCCCACGGGGGGCAAGCCCAUUAUGUUUUCACUGCAAUCAGGUGGGCCACAAGAGGACCGACUACCCGAUGAUGAGGGGAGGAGCAGGGAGUGCGCUUGCCCCAACGACUAUGAGGAUUACAGAUGGGCGAGAGGGUAGUGCCAUGCAGUGACAGAUGCGGAAGAUCUGGAUUACAGGAAGAAAUGUUGCAUGUACGUAUCUAUGGCUAUUUUCAUUCCUAGGUGAAUUAGGGAAGUUUUUACCCUGGACUCAGGCGAUUUUAUGUAUGAUUUGUCUCUCUGCUUGUAUGUGGAUUGUAUUUUGGAAUUGUCAUAUGCCAAUUGCAUACCAGGAGCUAUUAGUAGCUAGUGUAGGUCAUCUUUCACUUCGGGUUCGAAGUGUUCAGUAUCAUCUCGGUUACGGUUGAAAAUGGUUCGGGAAGUGGUCAGCCACCAUCAUCGGGGUAUGAUGGUUCUAAUCUGGGCGUUCGGGAUGGCCUUCGGAAGCAUCAAGGAAAGUGGCUUAUCACCAAGGAGUUUGUGCCCAGUUAUUCAGACUAUAAGGACAGUAGUUAGAGCUUAGGGGAUUUUUUUAGCAUCAGGGAUGCAGGAGGUGUUCAUCUAGUAUUCGGUAAUCAUACGGUAGUUGGAGUGGGCUAGAGACGGAUCGCUAGCAGGGAUAGGGCGAUGGUGGUUAUCAUGCCUAUCGAGUAAGGAAGGAAGGAAUGGAAAUCUUCGGGUUUUCGCAGGCAGUAAGGACUUAGCUGAGGCUAAGUGGGGGAGAAACAAUCAGGUUAUGGGGGUAGGAGGGGGUUUUGAAACUAGGUUAAGUUUCGCUCUCCUGUUAGGAAGAAAGACGGCUCAGGUGACUGUAUGAUUGGAGGAUAGUGUAAGAUGGGAGUUGGGAAAACUUGCCAAUUGUGAGACCUCAUUCUCGAAAUUUCUGGUCCUGGAUUACAUAGGAAUCGGUUGGGAGCUCCAUUUGGGACAUGAGUACCACUUGGGAGUACUCGAUUGUGCUGUAUGAUCAACUGUGGGUUAGUCGUAGCACCCACUAGCAGCUAGUCGGUGGGGAAAGGUGUUGUCAGACUACCGGAUGGUCGUAGCAUUCACCAGUGGCUAACUAGUAAGAGAAGUGUGGUAAGACUGCGGUGUGGCCCGUAGCAUCAGAUUAGCAAGACUGCGGUGCGGCCCGCGGCAAUCGUAUGGGAGUAUGGUUAGGCUACGGUAUGGCCCGUAGCACUGGUUUAGUAAGACUGAGGUGUGGCCCGUAGCAUUAGAUUAGUAAGACUGCGGUGUGGCCCGUAGCAUUAGAUUAGUAAGACUGCGGUGUGGCCCGUAGCAUCAGAUUAGCAAGACUGCGGUGUGGCCUGCAACAAUCGUGUAUGAUUAUGGUUAGGCUACGGUGUGGCUCGUAGCACUGGUUUAGCAAGACUGUGGGGCGGCCCGUAGCUUUGGUUGGCUGGCAGCGUAGAAGUGUUGUAAGACUACGGGAUGGUCCGCAGCAAUCAUCGGUCCUUAUUCGUUAGAGCGAAUGUAUCAGGUGUAUGAUUUAGUGGCAGAGUGGAUCGAGCGGUUAUUGGUGAAGUUUCUUCGAAAGUCGCUGGGAGCGACUAGGAGUUGAGUUGGGGCUAGCGACCGGUGGGAGCCGGUAAUCCAGAUAUUGGUAGAUUGGUAGGGACCAGGGUGGUCUCAGUUCAUCCGGAAGGCAGAUAAGGAAUAGCAGAAAUUUCCAGCCAGUAGCAGUGCUGGUAAGCAGUCUAUGGUGAAAUUCAGAUAGUUCGUCGUGGGGUGCUCGACACCAAUUAUAAUAGAAAGAAUGCCCAGUGGAUACAGGCGAUAAUGACCUGUACUGGAAGUAGCGGGAGUAAUGGAUUUGGUGAAGAUAGGAUCCUCACAAUGGCAGGGGAGAUAGUUGUUUUGGGGAAUCGCAUGAGGAAAGAAGGGGUGAAUCCCCUAUGGGUUCAGUUGCAGUACUCGGAGAGUACCAGAAGGUUGUCGGCUGAGUGAGUUGUGUUUCCAGAAUGAUCAGGGUCAGAGUUGACCCGAAAUGAUUAUCCGCAGGGUUUUGCGUUAGUCAGAAUGACCGGGUGGAAGACCAGCGAAGGUAGGCAGUUGGUGUUGGGAUAAUUGGUGAGUAUUGAAAGCAGAUUGCAGGCGGUGGGCCAUGAAAAACUUCGAGGACGAAGUUUAAUUUAAGUGGGGGAGAGUUGUAACACCCAAAGUUUUGAAGGCCAAGAAAGGAAAGAAAACCCUAAGUUUAGGGGUCGACUCGACGAGUCCAAAGGGGGACUCGGCGAGUCCGAGCGGGAUCCGAGUCGAGGAGUAAGUGACCGACUCGGCGAGUAGGCCAAGGUGACUCGGCGAGUCUGGUCUGUGCGUGGAAAACCCUAAAUUUGGGACUUGGAGCCUAUAUAAACGUCUUAAUCUUCUUCCUAGGGUUCCCUUAUGCCUCUUCAACCCUGGAUACCAAACCCUAGUCGUCAUAACCUUUGAUUGAGCCAUUUGUUGCCUUGGAAGGUGCAUUAAAGCUUGGAGAAGGAAGAAGGAACUUGGAGGAGCAAGAAGGGACUAUAGAUCUGGAGUUUGUGGAGCCUUUCUGAGAUAUUGAAGGUAAUAAGUCGUCCCUCUUUCCUUUAGGUCUUCCAUGGUUGUGAGAUUUGGGGAUUUUAAGCCAUGGUUUGACACCCAUUUGAGUUAGAAUCCGGAUCUGCAGUUGCUACUUCAGAUCCAAGUGUGUUAUGGGCUUGAGAAGCAUAAAGUAUCAGCCCUUGAGUCAAUGUUGAAGCCCCUUGGCCUUAAACCCUAGUUUAUGGUGUGUUUUGCUUAGAUCUCCUUCUCUACACGUAAAGUUUGCAACUUUACAUGAGGAAUAGGCUUGGGAAGGGUAGAUCUACAGAUUUGAGUCCCUGCAUGACUCAAAAGUCCUCUGCAUGUAUGAAGGAUCGGAUGGACUCGACGAGUCCUUUGAGUGGACUCGGCGAGUAGCUUGAAGAUGAGGAGGAACUCGACGAGUGGGAUGAACAGCUCGUCGAGUCGGAUGAAGUUGGGCAUGAACUCGGCGAGUUGGAAGAACAACUCGGCGAGUUGGAUGAAGAUUGUCUUGGACUCGGCGAGUCUGUUCUUGGACUCGAUGAGUCAAGUCGCGAAACCCCAAACCCUUCGUGUUUAGACUCGAAUCAGUGAGUCGAUUAGAGACUCGGUGAGUUGGACAGGUCAGGACUCGGAAAUCGGUAGACUCGGUGAGUCAUGGACUGACUCGGCGAGUAGAGUCGCGAGUGGAAGGACUCUGGACUUAUGAACUCGACGAGUCAGUAGGGUGACUCGACGAGUAGGGUUGACCUGGAAGGUUGACUUUGACCAGGACUUUGACUUCAACCUGAGUUGACUUAGAUAGACUAAGUGUUGCAUUGAUAUUGGUAGCUUGGGGAGCUAGUGGAGCGGGAGUUCAGAGAGUUGUCGGUCAGUAACCGGAGGAUUAUCAGCAGAGUUCAGCAGCGCGAGGUGAGUCUCCUCAAUGUUUGUAUGAGACUAAGGCACCAAUGCCGGCUCAUUUAGAAUAUGCAUGAAAGACCUGGGAGUGUCCCCUGGCACACAAUAUGUUAUUAUGGAUGACAGGAAGACCCGGGGGUUAGCCCUAGGCAACAUGUAUGAAAGACCAGGAGGUGGCUCCUGGCGCAUUGUAUGCUAUUAUAUAUGAAAGACCAGGAGGUGGCUUCUGGCACACUGUAUGUUGUUUAGCUAAGUAGAGUAGUAUGUACGGUUUUAUUUGUGAUACUUGCAUAAAGGACCAGGGGGUGGCCCUUGGCACUUGUCUGUAAGACCCAGGGAGCGGCCCAGGCUUGACCAGGAAGACCACGCGCGGCCCGUGGCAUAAUGGCAAGAGUAUGUUUGGCACAUAGCACCUUAUUUGAUUCUGGAUAAGUCGGUUAUGUAUAGCUCUUGGCUAUGAAUGGUUUGUAUGGUAUGAGGCAUCUGGGAAACUCACUAAGCUUCGUGCUUACGGCUUUCAGUUUUGGUUUCAGGUACUUUCGGUAGCGGAUGAUGGAGCUCGGGAUGAUCGCAUGGCACACACCAUAGAUUAGUCAGCCUGGGAAUGUUUUACUCUGAUAAUGAACAUGUGUUUUGAAAACUAAUACUCUGUUUAUGUUUUGAAUUGAUGAUUUUACUUUAAGUGAUACUUUAUUAAAAGAAAUUUUUAAUCUUGAAUUUUGGGACGUUACAGUGGCAAAUAUGACCUCUAAAAGAGCUAAGCAAAGAGAAUUUUAACGCCCCAGAAUUGUAUCCACACAUAUAAAUAAAGGACCAAUAUUGCCAAAUAUGUAGGAAGUUAACUGUAGCUAAGCAAAGAGAAUUUUAACAUAUAGUAUAAUUUAUAAUACUGGAAGUUAUAUAGAUAACUGUGUUAGUUUUUUGUAUUUAAAGACUGAAACAUAAUAACGUUGUAAUGUAUAUAAUAAAAAAACGUUUAAUUUACAAUAUGACCGUUACGAAUGGUAUUUAUGAAUUUAAUAUUUAAUAUUUAAUAUAGUCGGAAAGUAUCAACACCCAAACAGAUAAGCUAUACAAAUAACAUGAUGUCUGGUCCGCCUCACCGGGCCUUCAGCCUGUCUGAACCGCUCCUGAGUCUUCGGUAUGACUAGACCGCCUCGCAGGGCCUACAGCGUAUCCGGACCGCAAUAGUUUAUUUUAUUUACUUUUUUUUUUAGUUUAUUUUAGUUUAUUUCAUCCUAAUUUAGAUAAUUUCCAUGCAUAUUUUCCUUUUUGAUAUUUUAUGACUAUUUUGGGUACUUUCGAAUUUUGUGAGCAUAAUUGCAGGUUUUCGGGUCUAGCAGAGCGGGAGUGUCGGGACGUAUGGAAAGCGAUGGGAAUUGGUAGACAACAAGGAUCUUAGGCUUGAUGGGUGGUGGAGAUGAUGCAUGGAUCAAGCUUGAUUAUUUGAAGGCUUUAAGAGAGAUAAACUUUAAAUUUGUAAGAUGCGGGAGUAUAUUCAAGCGUGUGUAGAUUAUUAACCGAGCGAGUUUGGAUCAUUUGGUGAAUCCAAAUUGGGUUUAAAUUGAAGAAAACUUGAAGAAAAUGGGCUAGGAGCUGAUUAGACUCGAAUUGGGCUAAGUGGGCUAAGCUAUGGAGGCCUAAACCUCAAAGAUGCUACAUCCAGGGACCCCCCCCCCCCCCCCUUUCAACAGCACGCGGGUCGCGCAACCUCCUGCAGGGGCAAUUCUGGAAAUUCUUUUUUUGAGCUAUAUGGGGAAGGUUGGUGUGCCACUUUUGCACACUCUUGGACAUCCGAUUUUUGAGCAUUCUCUAUGGAGUUUUAGAGACUUUUGAAGGCCAAGAACACCUCAAGAACAUCAUCUUUUCACCUCUUGAUUCUUUUUAAAUGUUUGGUACAAUUUUCUCUAACUUUGUUUUCUUGAGUUUAGCCAUGCUUGGCUAGACAAAUCUUGGUUGAAUUUGGUGAAAUCCUUUGAAUAUGUGUUGAAUGUUGAAGAUUCCAUGAACUUGUGUUUGAAUCUUUAUGAAAGUGUUUUGUGUUUUAACAUCUUA